rnacentral:sRNA from 1 species
GCCAGGUGUGGUGGUGCAUGCCUGUAGUCCCAGUUACUCAGGAGGCUGAGGCAGGAGGAUCCCGAGUUAGAGGCCAGCCUGGGCAAUUUAGCAAGACCCUGUCUCAA